UUGGAGGGCAAGUCUGGUGCCAGCAGCCGCGGUAAUUCCAGCUCCAAUAGCGUAUAUUAAAGUUGUUGCAGUUAAAAAGCUCGUAGUUGAAUUUCGGGGUCAGUAGGCUGGUCGUGCCUCAGGUACGUACUGGUCUUACUGAUUCCUCCUUCCUGACGAACCGUAAUGCCAUUAAUUUGGUGUUGCGGGGAAACAGGACUGUUACUUUGAAAAAAUUAGAGUGUUUAAAGCAGGCUAACGCUUGAAUACAUUAGCAUGGAAUAAUGAAAUAGGACGAUCGAUCCUAUUUUGUUGGUUUCUAGGAUUGACGUAAUGAUUAAUAGGGAUAGUUGGGGGCAUUAGUAUUCAAUUGUCAGAGGUGAAAUUCUUGGAUUUAUUGAAGACUAACUACUGCGAAAGCAUUUGCCAAGGAUGUUUUCAUUAAUCAAGAACGAAAGUUAGGGGAUCGAAGACGAUCAGAUACCGUCGUAGUCUUAACCAUAAACUAUGCCGACUAGGGAUCGGAUGAUGUUAAUUUUUUAAUGACUCAUUCGGCGCCUUACGGGAAA
rnacentral:rRNA from 1 species